rnacentral:misc_RNA from 1 species
UGAUUGCAGGUUAUGUUGAGAAUUCUAGAGCUGUGGAAGGUGUGAAGCUUUUUAUAACAAUUGUGGUGUUUGGCAUCUGGCCAAAUCUAUCAACCUUGAGUAGUCUUUUGUUAGGAUUCAGUAAAUUGUCUGCUUUGCAGAUUAGGAAGACAAGUUCAUCAGCUAGUAUGUAAUACGACAGCUGGUACAUGGUACAUGGUUAGUUAUCAUUUAUUCUAAGUGUGGAGAUUUGGAGAAUGCUUUGAAAUUGUUUCUUGAGAUUCCAAGGAGGGAUAUAGUCACUUGGAAUGCGAUGGUUUGUGGUUAUGCUCCACAUGGAGCAAGUGAUAAAGCUCUAAGUUUGUUUGAUGAGAUGAAAAAUGAAGGAAUUAAGCCAUAUUGGAUUACAUUUGUUGCAUUAUUAUUGGCUUGCAACAGUGCGGGUUCUGUAGAUCUUAGGGUUAAAUAUUAUCAUUCUAUGGUGAGUGAUCAUGGAGUUUAAACCAAGCUGGAGUACUAAGCGUGUAUGGUUGACCUUGGUCGAUCUGGGAAGUUGGAUGAAGCUGUAGAUUUAAUAAAGAAAACGUCCUUCCAACCCACGUGUUGCUAUAUUUGGAACUUUUUUGGGUACAUGCUUGUAAACUCAAAAAAGGAAUCCUUUGCCAAUCUAUGAGAUGGCUUUAGAAAUCUUAAAAAAAGGAAA